ACGGGAGGCAGCAGUGGGGAAUAUUGCACAAUGGGGGAAACCCUGAUGCAGCGACGCCGCGUGAGUGAAGAAGUAUUUCGGUAUGUAAAGCUCUAUCAGCAGGGAAGAUAAUGACGGUACCUGACUAAGAAGCCCCGGCUAACUACGUGCCAGCAGCCGCGGUAAUACGUAGGGGGCAAGCGUUAUCCGGAUUUACUGGGUGUAAAGGGAGCGUAGACGGUUUGGCAAGUCUGAAGUGAAAGCCCGGGGCUCAACCCCGGUAUUGCUUUGGAAACUGUUGAACUAGAGUGCCGGAGGGGUAGGCGGAAUUCCUAGUGUAGCGGUGAAAUGCGUAGAUAUUAGGAGGAACACCAGUGGCGAAGGCGGCUUACUGGACUGUAACUGACGUUGAGGCUCGAAAGCGUGGGGAGCAAACAGGAUUAGAUACCUGGUA
rnacentral:rRNA from 1 species